AGGAUGGCUCUGCGGCUUAUCAGGUUGUAGUGAGGGUAACGUCCUCACUAGCCUAUGACGGGUACGGGCCCUGAGAGGGGAAGCCCGGAGAUGGACUCUGAGACACGAGUCCAGGCCCUACGGGGCGCAGCAGGCGCGAAAACUCCGCAAUGCUCGAAAGAGUGACGGGGGGAUUCCAAGUGCCUACGCUCAGCGUAGGCUGUUCAGAUGCCUAAAAAGCAUCUGGAGUAAGGGCUGGGUAAGACGGGUGCCAUCUGUGGCAGCAGCCGAAAAUUUGGCUUGCUACUGCAAGGCAUAAGCCGCCGCGGUAAUACCCGCAGCUCGAGUGGUAGUCGAUUUUAUUGGGCCUAAAGCGUCCGUAUCCGGUCUGGUAAAUGCUUGGGUAAAUCGUCUGGCUUAACCAGAUGAAUUCCGGGUAGACUACCAGACUUGGGACCGGUUGAGGAAGAGGGUACUUCAGGGGUAGGAGUGAAAUCCUGUAAUCCUUGAAGGACCACCAGUGGCGAAGGCGCUCUUCUAGGACGGGUCCGACGGUGAGGGACGAAAGCCAGGGGAGCAAACCGGAUUAGAUACCCGGGUAGUCCUGGCCGUAAACGAUGUGGGCUUGGCAUUGGGGGUUCUACGUGAGCGCCCAGUGUCGUAGCG
rnacentral:rRNA from 1 species